GGGUGCUUGCACCUGGUGGCGAGUGGCGAACGGGUGAGUAAUAUAUCGGAACAUGUCCGGAAGUGGGGGAUAACGUAGCGAAAGUUACGCUAAUACCGCAUAUGCCCUGAGGGGGAAAGGGGGGGAUCGCAAGACCUCUCGCUUUCGGAGUGGCCGAUAUCAGAUUAGCUAGUUGGUGAGGUAAAGGCUCACCAAGGCGACGAUCUGUAGCUGGUCUGAGAGGACGACCAGCCACACUGGGACUGAGACACGGCCCAGACUCCUACGGGAGGCAGCAGUGGGGAAUUUUGGACAAUGGGCGCAAGCCUGAUCCAGCCAUGCCGCGUGAGUGAAGAAGGCCUUCGGGUUGUAAAGCUCUUUCAGCCGGAAAGAAAUCGCACUGGUUAAUACCUUGUGUGGAUGACGGUACCGGAAGAAGAAGCACCGGCUAACUACGUGCCAGCAGCCGCGGUAAUACGUAGGGUGCGAGCGUUAAUCGGAAUUACUGGGCGUAAAGCGUGCGCAGGCGGUUUUGUAAGACAGAUGUGAAAUCCCCGGGCUUAACCUGGGAACUGCAUUUGUGACUGCAAGGCUAGAGUAUGGCAGAGGGGGGUAGAAUUCCACGUGUAGCAGUGAAAUGCGUAGAUAUGUGGAGGAAUACC
rnacentral:rRNA from 1 species